GAUGAACGCUGGCGGCGUGCCUAAAACAUGCAAGUCGAGCGGCAGCACGGUCUUCGGACUGGUGGCGAGCGGCGGACGGCUGAGUAACACGUAGGAACAUACCCCGAAGUGAGGGAUAACUGCUCGAAAGAGUAGCUAAUACCGCAUGUGAUCUAAGGAUUAAAGCUUUAUGCGCUUUGGGAAUGGCCUGCGUCUGAUUAGUUUGUUGGUGAGGUAAUGGCUCACCAAGACUACGAUCAGUAGCUGGUCUGAGAGGAUGAUCAGCCAGACUGGGACUGAGACACGGCCCAGAGUCCUACGGGAGGCAGCAGUUAGGAAUUUUCCACAAUGGGCGAAAGCCUGAUGGAGCAACGCCGCGUGCAGGAUGAAUGCCUUCGGGUUGUAAACUGCUUUUAUAUGUGACGAAUAUGACGGUAGCAUAUGAAUAAGGAUCGGCUAACUCCGUGCCAGCCGCCGCAGUAA
rnacentral:rRNA from 1 species